AGCGAACGCUGGCGGCAGGCCUAACACAUGCAAGUCGAACGAACCUUUCGGGGUUAGUGGCGGACGGGUGAGUAACACGUGGGAACGUGCCUUUAGGUUCGGAAUAACUCAGGGAAACUUGUGCUAAUACCGAAUGUGCCCUUCGGGGGAAAGAUUAAUCGCCUUUAGAGCGGCCCGCGUCUGAUUAGCUAGUUGGUUGAGGUAAUGGCUCACCAAGGCGACGAUCAGUAGCUGGUCUGAGAGGAUGAUCAGCCACAUUGGGACUGAGACACGGCCCAAACUCCUACGGGAGGCAGCAGUGGGGAAUCUUGCGCAAUGGGCGAAGGCCUGACGCAGCCAUGCCGCGUGAAUGAUGAAGGUCUUAGGAUUGUAAAAUUCUUUCACCGGGGACGAUAAUGACGGUACCCGGAGAAGAAGCCCCGGCUAACUUCGUG
rnacentral:rRNA from 1 species